CUUGUAGGCGCAGUGUACAGAUAGCUCUUGUUCCCUGAUCUGUUGGGGGCACAUCCUGCGAUUUACCUCCCUCACAAAGCUCUAGUUUUUUUUUUUUUUAAAUGUCAUGCUAUACCUAAUUUUGCUUUGAGUUUAAGGAUUAGUUAUGAAUUUUGAAAAUCCUGCAUUCAUUUAGAUUUCACAUCACUAUCAGAUUAUCAAAAUAAUAAUAAUAAAAACAACAACAAUAACAACUAAAACAAAUGCUUGUCAGUAUAGUGCAGUGCAUGUUUCUAUUCUUCGCAUCGCGUAAAAUAAAAAAAUAAUAAAUAAUAAAAUAAAGACAUCAUGGAUUAAUAACUAAAGAGAAGAUUAAGAGAACUAAUAAAAUAAAAUUCAUGUUUACUUAAGUAAAAUCAGAGAGCUGGAAUCAUAUACAAAUCCUCAUAAUUUACUGCUGGCUAGCAAGGACUGCGUGAUCAAAAAUUUCUGCUUACCAGUCUUAUCCAGCUCAAUUAUUUUAAUGACCAACACUAAUCUUCUGAACGUCUUAUUCCCAGUAAAUUUCGUCGUUCCUUUUGGUUCAUCAACUAUUAGAUUUACACAAAAGGGGCAAAAAAUGUUGAAACCGUUUUGGAAGCAGAAAUUCAACAAACUACCACUGAGUGCAAAAAACAUUAAAUUUUACAUAAGAGACUUGUUGCAUUGGACAAAAGACAUUUGAAAGGGCGGUGAUUCAACACCCUUCUGUUUGCCCGGUAAUAUUUGGCGUUUCCACCACUCCGUCAAGUAUGCAAGACCUGAAAAAUGAAGGCGGGGUUUUUUCCCCCGUUUUACCUUUGGCAUUAGAAUUAGUUUUCAGACUUGGAAAGAAUAUACUUGAAAUUCAGAUGGCAAAAAUGAGAAUGGGAGCCAGCAAAAAAAAAUCCCUUACCUGUGUCACAUCCGGGGGUAUUUAUAGAUAAUAGGCACUAGGUAACCGCUGGGCGGUUGUGGUGCCAUGUGUCCCACGAUGGUAUUCCCACUACACCCACGUUCUGAGUGAUGAGUCCAUAACUUCCCGUCUGAAGAUUGUACCUGUAUCAUCGGCCAUGUAACCUUGUCGAUUCAUUAAAGGUUUUAUGGCUAAGUGUUUGGACAAGGAAUAUCAUUCCCGUUGAGGAUUUCGCUUAGCGGUAGAAUGAUUUCUAGGGAUAGCGGUAGAGCGCCCUUUGGGGGUUGUGGUAGGGCGCUCCCUAGACGUAGUGGUAGAGCGCUACCUGGGUGUAGUGGUAAAAAGCCCUAUGGGUUGAUGGCCUUGCAUCGGUGUGCUGUGAUCUGCCUUGCUUGUCCUUGAGGGUAACUACUUCUACCAACCUAUAUCAUUAGCCCCUCUUCCCCUUGUCGAUGUUUUCGGCAAGGGGUAGCAAUUUUAGGUUGGUUUGAAACUUUUUUUUUUAUUAUAUAAAGAGAGGAAUAGUUCGUAUUAGCAAAUCGAACUAUAUAAACACGAUCGAGUGGCAAUUCUACUGUACACAUGGAUCCUCACUAAUG
rnacentral:lncRNA from 1 species